rnacentral:rRNA from 1 species
AAACGACUCUCGGCAACGGAUAUCUCGGCUCUCGCAUCGAUGAAGAACGUAGCGAAAUGCGAUACUUGGUGUGAAUUGCAGAAUCCCGUGAACCAUCGAGUCUUUGAACGCAAGUUGCGCCCGAAGCCCAUUAGGUUGAGGGCACGUCUGCCUGGGCGUCU